CUGGGAGUUCCUGUGUCUCGUAGCCCCUCCCCCAACAAACUGAAAGUAAAUUCCUGUCUCAGAGCAGAACAGGGAGUCACCGUGACAGAAAUAUCCUUCCAAUAAGGAAAUGGCCCCCGUGAGGGCUUUAUAACAUGAGGGAUAAGCCCCCCCCAGGCUGCACUGCCCCUCAGUAUGGGGCCCCCCAGCCUCUCCUGGUUCCUACUGAUCUCUCUCUCCCUCACAGGAACAGAUGCUUUGGGGGUCAAAACAAGUGACGUUCCCAUUAAAUCCCAGAGGAACCAGGAAGCAUUUAUCCCGUGUACAGUAACGGAUUAUGGUGCUGGGAGAGUGGAUCCAAAGCUUCUCUCUGUCGAGUGGAAACUGAAACCCCUGAAUGGAAGUGAAGAACAAGUGUAUCUGUAUGUGUCUGGGACUCCCACCCCCACCCGGCCCGGAUCCUACAUAUCCAGGGACCUUAUAACCGGCAAUGUGGGGCUUCACUUACCCCGGGUUCAGUUCACAGAUGAAGGAGAAUAUACCUGCACUGUCAUUUAUACCCCUAAUAAAGCCGUGGGGCACUCUGUCCUGCAGGUGUCAGUGCAACCAACUGUCAGUUUGCAAUAUACUGAUCUCAGCAUCCUUCUUGAGACGGAGAAGACAGUUCAAUGCACAAUCGGUGGGUUUUACCCCAAAGAUAUAAAAAUAAAGUGGGUGAAACGGCUCAGUGAGACCAACUGCAUCUCGCUGGAUAAGGAAAGCUGCACGGGGGAAACGUCUGGGAAUGAGGACGGGACAUUCAAUGUUACAAGUCACCUAACGAUAAAGCCUUCCCUGGAGGAUGAUGGGAGAAGGUAUUUGUGUGUCAUUGAGCACCGCUCCCUGGAUACAGAACUGAAAUUGGGGUUCACUCUCUCAGUAACAGAGCCCCCCCCUGAAGAUAAGACGACUGCCCCAGUUGUGAUUACAGUAUGCGUUUUACUAAUAACUCUAGGUCUCUGUUACUUUCUCUACUUGAAAUUCCUAAAGAAAGAACCCCCCAAACUCUCUCCCAUUACCGGAGCGGAACAUUUGGUGCAUAUGAACGAGGCGACUCUCUCCUGCCAGAUCUCUGGUUUCCGACCCAAACCCAUCAGAAUUACAUUGUGUUUGCAAAGAAAAGGGGGAGAAGUGAUGGAAAUUUACUCCUGGGAUUCUGAGGCCCAAACGGACCAUUCUAUAAAGAGAAAGGAACUGUCUGUGCCUAUUGAGUUGGAGAGAGAAGGGUUAGUGGGUAACGGGGAGACUAAUCUGCCCCCAACUCAGAGGGCGCUGCGAGUGGAAAUGGUUCCUCUGAUAAAAACAAGUAAAAAGCACAUUUCCAACUGUCAGUGCACAAUCCGUAUAACCCCCGACAUAGAGGAAGAUGAUGGGGCAGAACUGACUGUGAGGGUCACUCACUCUGCCCUGAGGGGCCCCAUCUCUGUGUCCUGUCGGCUGAAGGUGAAUGGAGUCCCCCCCACAAUAUCAGAUAUUGUACCCCCGCUCCGAAUCCUCAAUGAAGAACCCGUGACUCUGACCUGCCCCAUCAAUGGGUUCAAGCCGAAGCCGCUCUCUGUUACUUGGCUGAAAGUGGAUUCGGGGGGUCGGGAAACAGAACUUCUGAGCUGGGAUCGGGGUUCAACCGACAUCCGUGAUCCCAAAUAUUCCCAUCAGAUGCUGGAGACUGAACAUGGAGAGCAUUCUAAUGCUUUUAUAAGUGUUUUGGCAAUGAAACCAACUGUAAAAGAAGAUCAUGGGGCAAAAUAUAUCUGUAGAACCUACCAUUAUGCAACUGGUUCCCGGGCAGACAAAACCAUGGAAAUGCUGGUUUCAGCUGCCCCAGAGUUGGGCCCCAUACAGAAAUCCCCAGAGAUUCUAUACGUUGGGGAGGAGAUGACGUUAUCCUGCAGAAUCCAUUCCUUCCACCCAGAACCCCUGGGAGUUCGCUGGUAUAAGGGGGAUGAGUUCUUGGCAUCAAGCACUGAUCAAGCCCACCGGGGCGACAGUCACCUGUUAGACUGUACCAGCCGUGCCACAUACAGACCCAGUGUGAGGGACAUUGGGAAGAGCUUCCGGUGUGAGGUCUCUCAUGAGAGUCUCCAACAUCCUAAAUGUGUUUCAUGGGAACUGAAACAUCUGGUAAGUGAGCCAAGGGUAAGUGCCAUAAAGUGUCACCCUGAGGCCCCUGAGUGCAACCAACCUGCAACAUUAUCCUGCGCUAUAGAGAAUUAUUAUCCUAAAGACCUCAAAAUCCGAUGGUAUCGGGGGCUGGAAGUCAUCUCUUCUCAUAAUGAUACAGAGACCAAGGAAGACCCCCCCGGAUCAGGACUUUUUUCCAAAAUGACAGAAAUACAUCUCACCCCCACCCUUAGUGACCACGGCACAGAAUUCCACAUGGAGAUAAUUCACAACAUGAAAAUCACCAAAAAGACAUUUUGUUUGCAAUUUAAAGGGUUCCCUGAAGUUAAAGAUAUAACUUGCAAUAAGUACCCCCCAAAAUAUGGAGAAGCCCUAACCCUAAGCUGCGAGGUGAUUGGAUGCAGCGCCCGAGACAUCACAGCGGAAUGGCGAGAGGGCAAUAAUCCCAUAAGGGGGCAGAUGAGAGCAGAACCCCAAACAGACAGAGAUUCAGUCACAUUCCUCCUCACACUGACGCCCACAGCAGAGCAUUAUGGGAAAUUACUCACCUGCCUGAUAAAGCACAAGGACCUACCUCAGCCCAUUAAGAAGAAUAUUUCUCUGAAGCUGCCGGAUGUGCCGCCCACCCUAUCAGAGAUCACGGCCUCCCCAGGGGAACCAAUAAUCAACAGGGAAACCACCCUCAGUGUAACCAUCUCUGGCUUCUCCCAGAAGAACCUCCAAGUCCGAUGGUACAAUUCCUUCAUGCCCCUCACUGCAAAUAUCCAGACCACCGAGCCACGGAUUGGGGGGGACCGGUUAUAUUGCUGCACCAGCAGCGUCACUUACACCCCAAAAACAUCGGAUACGGGAAUGUCUAUUCGCUGCGAAGUCAUCGCCAACAGGGAGACCCGGGAGCGACGGUACCAGUUGCCUAUAGCAUCAGGAGAUGAAGGGGAUGGAAGGAACCAGCCAAAAGCAGCUUCAGGAGAUCAGUUGGAUGGAAGGAACCAGCCAGAAAUAGGAGAGAUUGAGUGUGUGACCCCCCCCAGCCCCAGGGAGGGAGAGGCCGUUACCCUUCAGUGCAUCAUUAGAGGGCAAGAUGUGGAACAUGGAGACUUCUCCUGGAGUGACGGGAUGUUCCCCAUUGAUGAAAGCCAAAUAGACAACUCCAACCUCCCUGAUGGCUCCGGCUGUAUCUCCAGGGUCACCUUCACUCCUGAUGAUGGGCAAAUCAGAUUUGAGGCCACGUUUAACUUAGUAACCACGGAGAGAACUUACCAACUCCCAUGGGUAUGAGAUUUGUUAUGGGCUACUGGGGAUAUCUACCUGCACCAAACGUAGCAGUGUCUCAGCCCAGAAGAUCUGUCUAGGUGCCAGUACAAGUGCCACCUAUCAGUGUAGGUUGAAACGUGGCUGGUGUGAGGGACAGGCGAGUUCCCUUAUGGUAUUAGAUUGUGUGCUCACCUGGUCAGUAUGUUGUGGCACUGACAGAAGAAAAGCUGAAAUCUGCUUCUGAUCACAUGACUUGCCAAGUGGUAAAUGUAAAGAGACUACAGGUCAGAGGGCCACCCAAUGAGUCCUACCCAAUGAAUCUCCCACUCAGUGAGUCUUCCACCCAAUGAGUCUCCCACACAAUGAGUCUCCCACCCAAUGCAUCUCCCACCCAAUGAGUCCUACUCAAUGAGUCUCCCACACAAUGAGUCUCCCACCCAAUGAGUCUCCCACACAAUGAGUCUCCCACCCAAUGAGUCCCACUCAAUGCAUCUCCCACUCAAUGCAUCUCCCACCCAAUGAGUCCCACUCAAUGCAUCUCCCACCCAAUGAGUCCUACUCAAUGAGUCUCCCACCCAAUGAGUCUCCCACCCAAUGAGUCCCACUCAAUGCAUCUCCCACCCAAUAAGUCCUACUCAAUGAGUCUCCCACUCAAUGCAUCUUCCACCCAAUGAGUCUCCCACACAAUGAGUCUCCCACACAAUGAGUCUCCCAACCAAUGAGUCCCACUCAAUGCAUCUCCCACCCAAUGAGUCCUACUUAAUGAGUCUCCCACCCAAUGAGUCUCCCACUCAAUGAGUCCCCCACCCGAUGAGUCUCUCACCCAAUGCAUCUCUCACCAAAUGAGUCCCCCACCCAAUGAGUCUCCCACCCAAUGAGUCCCACUCAAUGAGUCUCCCACCCAAUGAGUCCCACCCAAUGAGUCUCCCACCCAAUGAGUCCCACUCAAUGAGUCCCCCACUGUGUUACUGUUCAUAUAAACGAGGUAACAGGAAGUAACCAAUGAACUGUCAGGAAGAAUUCUAAGAUCCUGUUGCAAAAGCUGCAGAACUUGGUGCUAUAAAUA